UGAACACUGAACUCUCUCCAGGUGAGCUCCAUGCCACGCUGCAGCUCCUUCACAUCACACAGGACGUUCUCCAGACUCACUAGGUGGAGAGGUAAAUACACAGCCUGCUGUCCAGAAUGGUGCUGAGACAGGUGGUUCGAUGGUAUUUUCUUUAUUCCACGAUAACUCUCAGGAUGGCCUCAUCAUCGAUGUCAUUGAAGACGGUCCCAUUAAUCUGACUCGGUUUCAGAGCGACCCAGUUCAACACUGGCAUCCUGAACUUGGUCUGGAUUGGCUUCUUUAUCUUCACCGCUGCACAAGACAGGUCGACAGACGGGAUCAAACAUGUGACAUUAAUAAGAGAGAAAACCAGCCAGUAACUGGCUUUACUGGAGGCUGGUGGGAAGGGCUCAUUGGUAGGACGAAGAUUGAUGGAGGAUGAAGGAGGAUGAAAAACAAUUACAGAUGGAAGACGUAAAGAUGUAGAAAUGUUUAAAUAGAAGACUGUAAGUAAACUUACAAAAUAACUUGAGCGGACCCUCUGUCAGCAAAUCAAGAGAGAAAAAGCAAAAUGUUGGUGAAAUUGAUAACAGAUUAUAAUUCACAUUUACUAUGAUUUCAGAGAAUUCUGCAGAGGCUGGAAAGUGUUGGAUAACUUUUAAAAAUCAGAUCACCUCUGACACUACUGUUUAUUUGCAAAUGAAUGUACAGUGUUAAACUGUAAUGAAGACAGCAAAAAUAAGGCUGAGUGACAGAUCUUAGAGUUAGGAUUAUUUUUGUACCACCACCAACAACAAGCGGUGAAUCAGGUUAAAUUCAAAUAAACACUAAUUCAAUAGUAAUGUAGUCUCACCUGCGAGUCCGGAGUUAAAGAUAAC